ensembl:lncRNA
GACUUCUUUCAUCCUGCUUAGCAAGCUCACAGCUGCAGCUGCUGAAAGGUCUGAGCUGCAUUAAAGCCUGCAGCUGGAGAGCAGAUCUCCUACAACUGGGAGUAUAAGGGAGAAGCCCAGGCUGAAGGAACCAGACCUGGCUGGGGUGAUCCCACAAGGGGCUGCAGUCCCAGCUCCUGCUAUGCUGAGACCCAAGAGAAGGGGAUCCCAGCUGCUUGUGGGUGGAUGUCUUUAUGCCCAUGUUAUCUGUGCACCAAAGCAUACUGAGCUGCAGAGCUUCUACCUUUUCCCUGCACAUAUUGAUGGAAAUAGUGGGCACCAGGACAUCCUCCUGAAGAAGAGGACACUACAGCUCCUGUGGAAGUGUGCCCUGACUGCUGGCAGCCUUCAAGGAGAAUGGAGAGCAUGUGAUACGUAGCAAGAUUCAGCCCUUCAUAACCAGAAACAGAGUUGGACAUCUGUUAAAUUAAAGCCUUAAGGGUCUGCAGUGUCUGGAUUGUGAUCUAUGCCAAGAUGCCAUCACCACAGAGGACAACAUGCCCUCUCUUUCCUUCCUAGUUAUGUCUUGCACACAAUCAACCAAAGCUGCUUUGAAUGACGCAAGUGCUGUGUGCUCUCAAAGAGAAGCCAAAACCGGUGAUGCAUAAAAAGAUAUAAGAACACAAAUAUUCCUUCACUAUUUACAGAAGUAAUUCUUCCAACUAUUAAUGAUUCAGACUGAGAACCAGAACCACCUUUGCACGCUGUAUAUGAGAAGAUCUGCAUCAGCCUGUGAAUACUGUGAUUUGGGAAGAGACCAGGAAAGUAAAGAGUCAAGAUGAAUCCUCUUUUCCGAAGCUCACCUGAAAUUAAAUCACUUCCUGCAAUGGAGAAGUUCAGAAUUGUUUGAUUUGGAAGAGACCCUUAAAGGCCAUCUGAUUCAACAGCCAUGCAAUGAACAGGGACACCCACAGCUCCAUCAGGUGCUCAGAGCCCAUCCAGCCUGACCUUGAGUGUCUCCUGGGAUGGAGCUCCCACCACCUCUCUGGGCAGCCUGUGUCAGUGCCUCACCACCCUUACUGUAAAUAACUUCUUUCUUACAUCCAGUCUAAAUCUCCCUCUUUAAGUUUGAAACCUCUUCCACUUGUUCUAUCCCCACAGACCCUGCAAAGAACCUGUCUCCUUCUUUCUUACAGGCCCUUUUAGGUACUGAUUCUCUUUUAAAAUUCUCCUGAAAUGUAAAGGAAAAAAUGAUUCUGAUGUAGGAUUAUAAGAGUCUCAUGAAAGAAGUAUGGGGAGCCUGCAGAUCUUCUCUUUUCCCCUUUCCCUUGAGCUGGGCUAAAGUAGCCUUACAGAAAAACACUCCAAAAUGUCAUCUACCCAUGGGCUUGUGGCCCCAUCUCCUUGGCCUGAAUCCAACAGCAACUGGAGCACAGCCACAGGCCUCGUGGAGGAGCUACCAGAGGUCUUUGGAAUGCAGCCCUGUUUCUCCUGAGCAUUUAUCUGCUUCUCAAAUCAUUAAUGAGGAAAGCAGCCAGGAAGCACCAUGCUUAACCUCCUUUUCCCCACCGUGAUGAUCCAGAGAGAUGAUGCUCUGCAGAAGGGCAGAGUGGGAGCAGAGACCCAUUUGCUCAUGAAGAAGGCAAGUGAAGGGGCAGGGGAGGGGAAGGCAGCAGGCCAAAUGAGAAACACUCCUCUAGACGUCUUCCAUCAUUUCAGACUCAUAAAUCACAAUGUAGAUUAAUGAGAAAUUAAUGCAGUGCAGAAAUUACUGGGGGUGAGGAGCUGUCGGUCAGCAACGGGAGUGACUGCAUGUGAGACAAAGCAGUGAAGAUCUCCAAAAAGAGAGAGGGCUCAGCAGCCCGGAUGUGUUCUUUAAUGAGGGAAGACAGCGAGGUCAGCAUGGGAACAAGAUAGCACACGGCUGCAUCUGGGAGACAAAGGGCACUAUUUAAAAAUCCUGUCAAAAGGCUCUCUGGACUGAUUUGUAUUAAAGCCUCUUUCACAUCU